rnacentral:rRNA from 1 species
UACGGAGGAUCCGAGCGUUAUCCGGAUUUAUUGGGUUUAAAGGGUGCGUAGGCGGCCUGCCAAGUCUGAUGUGAAAUACCGGGGCUCAACCCCGGGGCUGCAUUGGAAACUGGCAGGCUGGAGUGCCGGAGAGGCAGGCGGAAUUCCUAGUGUAGCGGUGAAAUGCGUAGAUAUUAGGAGGAACACCAGUGGCGAAGGCGGCUUACUGGACAGUAACUGACGUUGAGGCUCGAAAGCGUGGGGAGCAAACAGG